rnacentral:siRNA from 1 species
UAUAUUCGUCAGGGUCCAAGU